CCUACGGGUGGCAGCAGUGGGGAAUAUUGGACAAUGGGCGAAAGCCUGAUCCAGCCAUGCCGCGUGUGUGAAGAAGGCCUUCGGGUUGUAAAGCACUUUCAGUGGGGAAGAAAGCCUUGGGGCUAAUACCCUCGAGGAAGGACAUCACCCACAGAAGAAGCACCGGCUAACUCCGUGCCAGCAGCCGCGGUAAUACGGAGGGUGCGAGCGUUAAUCGGAAUUACUGGGCGUAAAGCGCGCGUAGGCGGUCUGAUAAGCCGGUUGUGAAAGCCCCGGGCUCAACCUGGGAACGGCAUCCGGAACUGUCAGGCUAGAGUGCAGGAGAGGAAGGUAGAAUUCCCGGUGUAGCGGUGAAAUGCGUAGAGAUCGGGAGGAAUACCAGUGGCGAAGGCGGCCUUCUGGACUGACACUGACGCUGAGGUGCGAAAGCAUGGGUAGCAAACAGGAUUAGAUACCCUAGUAGUC
rnacentral:rRNA from 1 species